rnacentral:rRNA from 1 species
CCUACGGGAGGCAGCAGUAGGGAAUAUUGGUCAAUGGACGAAAGUCUGAACCAGCCAUGCCGCGUGAAGGAUGAAGGCCCUAUGGGUCGUAAACUUCUUUUAUUAGGGAAGAAACCUUAGGAUGCGUCCUAAGCUGACGGUACCUAAUGAAUAAGGAUCGGCUAACUUCGUGCCAGCAGCCGCGGUAAGACGAAGGAUCCAAGCGUUGUCCGGAUUUACUGGGUUUAAAGGGUGCGUAGGCGGAAAAUUAAGUCAGUGGUGAAAGCCCGCAGCUCAACUGUGGAACUGCCAUUGAAACUGAUUUUCUUGAAUAUAGUUGAGGCAGAUGGAAUAUAACAUGUAGCGGUGAAAUGCUUAGAUAUGUUAUAGAACACCGAUUGCGAAGGCAGUCUGCUAAGCUAUUAUUGACGCUGAGGCACGAAAGCGUGGGGAGCGAACAGGAUUAGAUACCCUGGUAGUCCACGCCCUAAACGUUGAUUACUCGCUGUUGGCGAUAUACUNUNAGUGNGAGAGAAGACGUAGUAAGUACACCNCGAGGAGACGAACGAGUAGUUAAGACAAGAAGUUAGUAGNGNGNGAGNGCGAGACGACACAGGAGGAGG